CCACACUGGGCUGAGACACGGCCCAGACUCUUACGGGAGGCAGCAGUAGGGAAUCUUCCGCAAUGGACGAAAGUCUGACGGAGCAACGCCGCGUGAGUGAUGAAGGUUUCCGGAUCGUAAAGCUCUGUUGUUAGGGAAGAACAAGUGCAAGAGUAACUGCUUGCACCUUGACGGUACCUAACCAGAAAGCCACGGCUAACUACGUGCCAGCAGCCGCGGUAAUACGUAGGUGGCAAGCGUUGUCCGGAAUUAUUGGGCGUAAAGGGCUCGCAGGCGGUUUCUUAAGUCUGAUGUGAAAGCCCCCGGCUCAACCGGGGAGGGUCAUUGGAAACUGGGAAACUUGAGUGCAGAAGAGGAGAGUGGAAUUCCACGUGUAGCGGUGAAAUGCGUAGAGAUGUGGAGGAACACCAGUGGCGAAGGCGACUCUCUGGUCUGUAACUGACGCUGAGGAGCGAAAGCGUGGGGAGCGAACAGGAUUAGAUACCCUGGUAGUCCACGCCGUAAACGAUGAGUGCUAAGUGUUAGGGGGUUUCCGCCCCUUAGUGCUGCAGCUAACGCAUUAAGCACUCCGCCUGGGGAGUACGGUCGCAAGACUGAAACUCAAAGGAAUUGACGGGGGCCCGCACAAGCGGUGGAGCAUGUGGUUUAAUUCGAAGCAACGCGAAGAACCUUACCAGGUCUUGACAUCCUCUGACAACCCUAGAGAUAGGGCUUUCCCUUCGGGGACAGAGUGACAG
rnacentral:rRNA from 1 species